rnacentral:misc_RNA from 1 species
GUGAAUCAUCGAAUCUUUGAACGCACCUUGCGCUCCUUGGUAUUCCGAGGAGCAUGCCUGUUUGAGUGUCAUUAAAUUCUCAACUCCUCCAGCUGUUGCAGCUGGGCUGGGGCUUGGAUUGUGGAGGGAUUGCUGGUGGAUUAUCAGCUCCUCUGAAAAGCAUUAGUGGAACUGGUUUGCGAUCCAUCACGGGUGUGAUAAUUAUCUAUGCCUGUGGGUUGCUCUCUGUGUGUUCUGCUGCCAACAUUGUCUUGGACAAAAUUUUUUGACGAUUUGACCUCAAAUCAGGUAGGACUACCC